AAGUCCGACGGGUUGCUUCUUCUUGUCAUUCAGUCCGAAGGACUGUCGUUUUUGUUCCCGAAAAACGACCUUUUAGACACCUACGAUUAUAAUGUAUCAGGGAACAGGUCGUAUUCAUGGGUGAGAUAGACUAUAUAUAUAUAUAUAUAUAUAUAUAUAUAUAUAGACUAUCUUAGCUGGUAUUCCUCCUGGCAUGACUACUCCUGCAGUUGCUGAAGACCUUGAUGCCAACUUUAGUAGUACAGAGCCGGUAGACUCUGGAAUAAGCUCAAACUCAACAUCAUCUGACUUUGAAACAAGCCAGGAUAGUCAAAGGAGACUUGCAGUACAUACACAUCUUCUACAAGAGGUCGAAGCAGUGGGUGGUGAAGAACAUAGCACCAAAGCCUGCUAAACCAGCUGCUAUUACCCAACACAAUAACACAUUCUGGAACCUGCCUGGAACAUUCAACCAACACAACAUCCAUAUUCAGUUAGACUGAUAUUGUAGUAUAAUAUAGAAUGCCUAGUAUUGUCACACCCUGAUCUGUUUCACCUGUCUUUGUGCUUGUCUCCACCCCACUCCAGGUGUCGGUCAUCUUACCAUUAUCCCCUGUGUAUUUAUACCUGUGUUCUCUGUUUGUCUGUUGCCAAUCCGUCUUGUCUUGUCAGGUCUUACCAGUGUUCUUUCCCACCUUCCUGUUUCUCUAGUUCUGUUUCCAGGUUUUUCCCAGUUCUGACCAUUCUGCCUGCCCUGACCCCGAGCCUGCCUGCCGUCCUGUACCUGCCUGACUCUGACCUGAUCACGAACAUCUGCCUGCCCUCGACCUGCCCUUUGCCUUCCCUGUGUUUCUACUAAAUCAUCUGAGAACUGUACUAUCCUCCUCCCGUGUCUGCAUCUGGGUCAUAUCCUGAGUCGUGAUAGUACGAACUGACCAUGACUGACCCAGCAGACUCGAACCAGCUCUGCAACGCCGUCUCCUUCCAGGGAGCCACCAUUGGAAGACACAAGGAGUUACUUCAGCGUCUUAUGGAGGAUUCCAGACCUUGAUGGAAUGCUAAGACCGUGCCUUCAACACAUUACUGGAGCAAUUCCGUGGAUUGUAUGUGAGGCAGCCCGCCACUACAGUAACCCCCCAGAUUGUGAAUUAUCCCGCUACCAGCAGCGUUUCUCUCUAUUCUACCCUGGCUUCCCAAGAAUCCCUCUUACCUUUUACAGAGCACUAUGCUAGAGAUCCCGGAUCCUGCCGGGCGUUUUUCUCCCAGUAUUCUCUCAUCUUUGAGCUGCAGCCCUCUUAAUUUCUCUCGGAUUGCUCGAGGCUAGCGUAUGUGAUAUUGCUGAUGACCGGGAGGACUCUUGCCUGGGCUACGGCGGUGUGGGAGCAACAAUCCACCGUUUGUCUCAGAUUGAAGGAGUUUGUGGUGUUCACGGGUUGUCGGAGAUGAUUAAAGACGAGCUCGCAGCCCAGGAGCUGCUUCUGGAUGUCGACUCCCUCAAUGCCUUGACCAUUCCCAUAGCCGAUGGGCGGCUAUGGGAAUUGUAGGAGGGAGAGGGAGUCUGUUCCCUGUCGCCGACACUCGAUUUCCACCUUGCCUCCAAGGAAUCCCGGAAAUCCCCAAAGCCCACAUUUCCGAGUGGAACCGAUGUCGGCCGAAGUCUCUCGGAGGUCACCAAGGGUUGUCGAGUCGUCUCUUCCGGAGCCCAUGCAACUGGGCAGUGCUAGAUUGUCUCCUGCUGAGCGCUUACACAGACUUAACAUCCACUUUUUUUAUCUACCUGUCCAUUAAAGAACCAGGCUCAUCAAGAAGGUACUAGUAUGAGUACGCUGGUGAGCUGUACGGGGAGUUUCCCAUCUUCCAUUGCUCAUACCCCUCUCCAUGCUACCCUGUUGUGGAAUGACCGGUCCAAAUCUCUCUGGGUGCUCAUAGACUCUGGGGCCGAUGAGAGCUUUAUAGACGCUACUCUGGUGUCAGAGCUGGGAAUCUCCACACAACCCCUCUCCAUUCCCAUGAACGUCAGAGCGUUGGAUGGACGCUAUAUUGGCAGAGUCACCCACACUACGUGUCCCGUUAACCUGAGCGCUUCGGUGAGUUUAUGCAGUUCCUGCCCAUCGAAUCCCCUCAUGCACCCAGAGGCACAAUCCCCUGAUCGACUGGGCUACUGGUUUAUAUCCUGGGUUGGAGCAUGUUUUGCCAUGGGCAUUGCCUGAAGUUGGCAUUGCCUGAAGUUGGCGCUGCCUGCCCUGGGAUGUCUUCCUAAGGGCUUGGGAAAAGCCCUGGAUCUCUCCGCCAUUCCAGCGGAGUACCAGGACCUCCGGAAGGUUUUCAGCAAGAGCCGUGCCACCACGCUUCCUCUGCAUCGGCCCUAUGACAGUGCCACGACCUUCUCCCGGGCACUACACUGCCUCUGGGUGGCUUUAUUUCCCUGUCAGGUCCGGAGAACAAGGCGAUGGUGACGUAUAUUGAGGACUCCCUGGCUGCAGUGGGGUAUCUGUGCUUCUGCCUCCCCACCGGUACAUGGUUCUUCUUUUUGGAGAAGAAGGACAAAACCCUGUGUCUAUGUAUCGACUACCGGGGCCUGAAUGACAUCACGGUUAAAAAAACGUUACCUGCUUCGACUCAUCGCAUCGGCUUUCGAACCUCUCCAGGGGCCUACCAUCUUCUCCAAGUUGGACCUCCGGAAUGCCUACCAUCUUGUACGGGUCCGGGAAGGGGAUGAGUAGAAGACCGCCUUUAACAUGGCUAGCGGGCACUACGAAUACCUAGUGAUGCUGUUCGGACUGACCAACGCUCCUGCUGUGUUCCAAGACAAAUCAUUACAAACAGUAACCAGCAAAGUAGAAGAGUUGCACAAGUCAGAAAUAGAGAUAAAAUUAAUCACUUACCUUUGAUGAUCUUC